rnacentral:misc_RNA from 1 species
GAUGAAGAACGUAGCGAAAUGCGAUAAGUAAUGUGAAUUGCAGAAUUCAGUGAAUCAUCGAAUCUUUGAACGCAUCUUGCGCUCCUUGGUAUUCUGAGGAGCAUGCCUGUUUGAGUGUCAUUAAAUUCUCAACUACACUGACUUUGAAUUGGUGUGGCUUGGAUUUGGGGGGAAAAUUGUUGUGGGCUUUUUGUAUAGUCUGCUCCCCUGAAAUUGAUUAGCGGUACCUUUGUGGAACUGUCUACAGGUGUGAUAAUUAUCUACAUCUUAGACAUCUGCUGGAAUGCUGCUCUCUAAACCUUACUUGUAUUGACAAUCUUGACCUCAAAUCAGGUAGGUCUACCCGCUGAACUUAAGCAUAUCAAUAAGCGGAGGA